rnacentral:snRNA from 1 species
UUACUCUGGUUUCUCUUCAGAUCGUAUAAAUCUUUCGCCUUUUACUAAAGAUUUCCGUGGAGAGAAACAGGCAAGAGUGCAGAUCAAUUUUUUUAAAGCUCCGCUUAGUCGGAGCU